CACGUAGGGUGCGAGCGUUGUCCGGAAUUAUUGGGCGUAAAGAGCUCGUAGGCGGUGUGUCGCGUCGGCCGUGAAACCUGCAGCUUAACUGUGGGCUUGCGGUCGAUACGGGCAUCACUGGAGUUCGGCAGGGGAGACUGGAAUUCCUGGUGUAGCGGUGAAAUGCGCAGACUAUCAGGAGGAACACCGGUGGCGAAGGCGGGUCUCUGGGCCGAUACUGACG
rnacentral:rRNA from 1 species